UAAUACGAAGGUCCCGAGCGUUAUUCGGAAUCACUGGGCGUAAAGGGAGCGUAGGCGGCGUGGAAAGUCAGAUGUGAAAUCCCGGGGCUCAACCCCGGAACUGCAUCCGAUACUACCAUGCUAGAGUAUUGGAGGGGUAACUGGAAUUCUCGGUGUAGCAGUGAAAUGCGUGGAUAUCGAGAGGAACACCUGUGGCGAAAGCGAGUUACUGGACAAUUACUGACGCUGAGGCUCGAAGGCUGGGGGAGCAAAAGGG
rnacentral:rRNA from 1 species